CAAUAGCGUAUAUUAAAGUUGUUGCGGUAAAAAAGCUCGUAGUUGGAUUUCUACCGAAGAUAGCCGGUCGGGUCUUCGACCUUGUAUCUGGUUUUGUCUUUGGUAUCCUCAUAGGGAACGUUUCUGCGCUUUAUUGCGUGGUGCGGUAUCUAUGACUUUUACUUUGAGGAAAUUAGAGUGUUCACGGCAGGCAAACGCCUUGAAUAUAUUAGCAUGGAAUAAUAACAUAGGAUCUUCGUCCUAUUUUGUUGGUUUCUAGGGCUAAGAUAAUGAUUAAUAGGGAUAAUUGGGGGCAUCUGUAUCAACGCGUCAGAGGUGGAAUUCUUGGAUUGCGUUGCGACAAACUACUGCGAAAGCAUUUGCCAAGGAUAUUUUCAUUGA
rnacentral:rRNA from 1 species